GCAGGGAGCGCCGCGGAGGCUGCUGCGGCGCCGGCGGAGGGGCUCGUGGGGUCGCUCCAGGGGGUGGAGGUGUUCGACCUGAGCGGGAAGGCGGUGCCCGUCGCUGAUCUGUGGAGAGACAGGAAGGCUGUGGUUGCGUUCGCCCGUCAUUUCGGGUGUGUUCUAUGCCGAAAGAGGGCCGACCUUCUGGCGGCUAAGCAGGAGGCAAUGGAAGCUGCAGGAGUAUCUCUUGUUUUAAUCGGACCAGGUACUGUUGAACAGGCAAAGGCGUUUUCUGAUCAAACCAAAUUCAAAGGAGAAGUAUAUGCCGAUCCAGAUUACUCAUCAUAUAAGGCUCUGGAAUUUGCCAAUGGCUUAUUCUCAACAUUUACUCCAUCGGCGGGUCUGAAGAUUAUACAACUGUACAGGGAAGGAUACAGGCAGGACUGGGAACUGUCAUUUGAAAAGAACACCAGGACGAAAGGCGGAUGGUAUCAAGGGGGGCUCCUUGUUGCAGGCCCAGGCAUCGACAACAUCUCCUACAUCCACAAGGACAAAGAAGCUGGAGAUGACCCUGAAAUGGAGGAUGUUUUGAGAGCUUGUUGUUCCUAG
rnacentral:rRNA from 1 species